rnacentral:rRNA from 1 species
GUAGGUGGCAAGCGUUGUCCGGAAUUAUUGGGCGUAAAGCGCGCGCAGGCGGUCCUUUAAGUCUGAUGUGAAAGCCCACGGCUCAACCGUGGAGGGUCAUUGGAAACUGGGGGACUUGAGUACAGAAGAGGAAAGCGGAAUUCCAAGUGUAGCGGUGAAAUGCGUAGAGAUUUGGAGGAACACCAGUGGCGAAGGCGGCUUUCUGGUCUGUAACUGACGCUGAGGCGCAAAAGCGUGGGGAGCAAACAGGGAUUAGAUACCCUGGUAGUCCACGCCGUAAACGAUGAGUGCUAAGUGUUAGGGGGUUUCCCGCCCCUUAGUGCUGCAGCUAACGCAUUAAGCACUCCGCCUGGGGUAGUACGGCCGCAAGGCUG